UGGGGAAUAUUGGGCAAUGGGCGAAAGCCUGACCCAGCAACGCCGCGUGAAGGAAGAAGGCCCUCGGGUUGUAAACUUCUUUUGUCAGGGACGAAGCAAGUGACGGUACCUGACGAAUAAGCCACGGCUAACUACGUGCCAGCAGCCGCGGUAAUACGUAGGUGGCAAGCGUUAUCCGGAUUUACUGAGUGUAAAGGGCGUGUAGCGGGAGUGCAAGUCAGAUGUGAAAACUAUGGGCUCAACCCAUAGCCUGCAUUUGAAACUGUACUUCUUGAGUGAUGGAGAGGCAGGCGGAAUUCCCUGUGUAGCGGUGAAAUGCGUAGAUAUAGGGAGGAACACCAGUGGCGAAGGCGGCCUGCUGGACAUUAACUGACGCUGAGGCGCGAAAGCGUGGGGAGCAAACAGGAUUAGAUACC
rnacentral:rRNA from 1 species